ensembl:lncRNA
UUCCCAAACAGCAAGCACAUGUUAUGCAGAAGAGAACAUAAUAUUUUAAGGACAAGGUAUAUUGAAAAUCAAAUUGUUUAUUUAGCAAAUCAUGCAAGAGUAGCAGGAACACCAGGCUAAAUCAAAAGCAUAACCGGAGAACCUAAAAGUGUCAGCAAUACCGGCAAAUCAGAAGCAUAACCGGAGAACCUAAAAGUGUCAGCAAUACCGGCAAAUCAGAAGUCCAUUUUAGUCGUACGGUUAUAAAAAACAUUUCUACCAUUGUAGCGUCCACCCCUGUAAACAAUUUCCAUGGCGAUGCACAAGUGAAGGAGAUCCUCCUUUCAAACAAGAGAAUUAGUUGGCACAUUUCCCCAUCUCAGUUACCUUUUCUUCAAAAGGAGGCACAGUAACAGGGGAAAGACGAUUAAGGAGUUGGGCAAACCAUAUUAUGAUCUCCCUAGUUGAGUGGUCGGGCCGUCUGUUCAAGGCUUGACGCUUCUGCUGAGGCGCCGGGGCCGGAAGCUUCUGCUGAGGCGCCGGGGCCGGACGCUUCUGCUGAGGCGCCGGGGCCGGACGCUAUUGCUGAGGCGCCGGGGCCGGACGCUAUUGCUGAGGCGCCGGGGCCGGACGCUUCUGCUGAGGCGCCGGACGCUUCUGCUAAGGCACCGGGGCCGGACGCUUCUGCUGAGGCGCCGGACGCUUCUGCUGAGGCGCCGGACGCUUCUGCUGAGGCGCCGGACGCUUCUGCUGAGGCGCCGGGGCCGGACGCUUCUGCUGAGGCGCCGGGGCCGGACGCUAUUGCUGAGGCGCCGGGGCCGAACGCUUCUGCUGAGGCGCCGGGGCCGGACGCUAUUGCUGAGGCGCCGGGGCCGGACUUCACACUUGAAGAAGCAUCAUGGCCAAUAGCUUCUGCUGACGUGACAUCGUGGCCAGUAGCUUCUGCUGACGUGACAUCGUGGCCAGUAGUUUCUGCUGACGUGACAUCGUGGCCAGUAGUUUCUGCUGACGUGGCAUUGCGGCCAAUAGCUUCUGCUGACGUGGCAUUGCGGCCAGUAGCUUCUGCUGACUUGGCAUUGCGGCCAGUAGCUUCUGCUGACUUGGCAUUGCGGCCAGUAGCUUCUGCUGACUUGGCAUUGCGGCCAGUAGCUUCUGCUGACUUGGCAUUGCGGCCAGUAGCUUCUGCUGACGUGGCAUUGUGGCCAGAAACUUUAGAAUUUGGACUAGGCACCACACUUGCUUGGGCAUAGGAUCCAGUUGGGUCAGGUCCAGUGUGGGCAGGAUGCCCAUGAGAAUUACCUAGAAAACAAAAAGAGGUAAAAUCCCAGCCUUAAGCUAUCAGAACUAGACUGAUUUGAACUGAAGUAGUGUAAACCAAAACACACCUUUGAGUGUAAAACAAGUUAUCCCUCCAAUUAGCAGGCAGCAAAUCCAGGAAACACUACAAAAUAUUCAGACAGUUAAACACAAGUAACCAGUGAACACUUUAAGACAAGGUAAACCAACCAGAUGACUACAUUGAAAAACUAACCUCAACGAGAGUCCAAAAAUUACAGCCAUUUUAGUGAUCAAAACCACAACAGUAUUCAGAACUAAUGCUAGCCAGACACCCUGCCAGAAUAUCUGUUGCUAUGUCUAACAGCUGUUUUGGUUGCACCUCAUAAAGGAAACCCAGACCCUUCUAAAUUGGCUGGCUAAUUA